rnacentral:rRNA from 1 species
AGGAUUAACGCUGGCGGCGUGCAUGAAACAUGCAAGUCGAGCGCGGUGUGAUGCGGGGUAACCCAAUUCACAUCUAGCGGCGAACGGGUGAGUAACACGUGAGCAACCUACCUUUGAGUUGGGGAUAGCCCUGGGAAACCAGGAUUAAUACCCGAUGUGGUCACAACAGGACAUCCUGAUGUGAGUAAAGGCGUAAGCCGCUCAAUGACGGGCUCGCGGCCUAUUAGCUUGUUGGUGGGGUAACGGCCUACCAAGGCGAUGAUGGGUAGCUGGUCUGAGAGGACGAUCAGCCACACUGGGACUGAGACACGGCCCAGACUCCUACGGGAGGCAGCAGUGGGGAAUAUUGCACAAUGGGCGCAAGCCUGAUGCAGCGACGCCGCGUGGGGGAUGAAGGCCUUCGGGUUGUAACCCUUUCACCAGGAGCGAAUCAGACGGUACCUGGGAAGAGCGCGGCUAACUACGUGCCAGCAGCCG